UACGUAGGGAGCGAGCGUUGUCCGGAUUUAUUGGGCGUAAAGAGCCCGCAGGCGGCUUGGCAAGUUUGAGGUGAAAUCUCCCGGCUUAACUGGGAGGGGGCCUCGAAAACUGCCAGGCUUGAGGCAUGGAGAGGGAUGCGGAAUUCCCGGUGUAGUGGUGAAAUGCGUAGAUAUCGGGAGGAACACCAGUGGCGAAGGCGGCAUCCUGGCCAUGUCCUGACGCUCAGGGGCGAAAGCGUGGGGAGCAAACCGG
rnacentral:rRNA from 1 species